rnacentral:rRNA from 1 species
GAGUAACAUGUGGGUAUCUUCCCUUUGGUGAGGAAUAACACGAGGAAACUUGUGCUAAUACCUCAUAAGUCUUUACGGAGAAAGCUUUAUGCGCCAAUGGAUGAGCCCGCACUUGAUUAGUUAGUUGGUAGGGUAAUGGCCUACCAAGACUUUGAUCAAUAGCUGAUUUGAGAGGAUGAUCAGCCACAUUGGGACUGAGACACGGCCCAAACUCCUACGGGAGGCAGCAGUAGGGAAUCUUGCACAAUGGAGGAAACUCUGAUGCAGCGAUGCCGCGUGAGUGAAGAAGGCCUUUGGGUUGUAAAGCUCUUUCGUCGGGGAAGAAAAUGACUGUACCCGAAUAAGAAGGUCCCGGCUAACUUCAUGCCAGCAGCCGCGGUGAUACGAAGGGACCUAGCGUAGUUCGGAAUUACUGGGCUUAAAGAGUUCGUAGGUGGUUAAAAAAGUUGGUGGUGAAAUCCCAGAGCUUAACUCUGGAACUGCCAUCAAAACUUUU